rnacentral:rRNA from 1 species
GCUCAGGACGAACGCUGGCGGCGUGCUUAACACAUGCAAGUCGAACGAAGCACCUUGAUUUGAUUCUUCGGAUGAAGAUCCUGGUGACUGAGUGGCGGACGGGUGAGUAACGCGUGGGUAACCUGCCUCAUACAGGGGGAUAACAGUUAGAAAUGACUGCUAAUACCGCAUAAGACCACAGCACCGCAUGGUGCAGGGGUAAAAACUCCGGUGGUAUGAGAUGGACCCGCGUCUGAUUAGGUAGUUGGUGGGGUAACGGCCUACCAAGCCGACGAUCAGUAGCCGACCUGAGAGGGUGACCGGCCACAUUGGGACUGAGACACGGCCCAAACUCCUACGGGAGGCAGCAGUA